rnacentral:rRNA from 1 species
UACGAAGGGGGCUAGCGUUGCUCGGAAUCACUGGGCGUAAAGGGUGCGUAGGCGGGUCUUUAAGGCAGGGGGGAAAUCCUGGAGCUCAACUCCAGAACUGCCUUUGAUACUGAAGAUCUUGAGUGCGGGAGAGGUGAGUGGAACUGCGAGUGUAGAGGUGAAAUUCGUAGAUAUUCGCAAGAACACCAGUGGCGAAGGCGGCUCACUGGCCCGAUACUGACGCUGAGGCACGAAAGCGUGGGGAGCAAACAGG